UAAAAAUUUUCCUUAACCUUUAGUGGCAUACAACGGGCACACAACACACCCGAUGCACUCUUCCACUUCAUCCAUCCAGCUUGUAUUCUAUGAUUUAGGUCUUCAUCCAAUUCUCCGUUCUUUUGCAAGAUAGAUCUAAGAUAGCAAAACCAUUUGUAUCCAUUUUCUUGCCUCUUCCCUUCUCCGUGGUUGACCUUGACCGUUUGGAUUAAAAUGCGAUCAAAAUAUCUUGAUUCUUGAUGAGCAUUUCUAUCAUAAUACUCUCUGUUCAAGGUUAAUGUUAUUGACUAUGUUUAACUAUGAUUUUCCUUCAGAAAAUGUGAGAAUCAAUCCAAUGAAGCAGGGAUAUCAGGGGAAGAUGUCCAAGAUCCCCGUGUUGUGGUGCAAAUUUCAGUUGAAUCUGAUAUGACGGGUGAUGGCUUCCGCUGGAGGAAGUACGGGCAGAAGGUUGUUAAGGGGAAUCCAUAUCCCAGAAGUUACUACAGAUGUACCAGUCUCAAAUGCAAUGUGCGUAAGCAUGUCGAAAGAGUCUCGGAUGAUCCCAAAGCUUUCAUCACAACGUACGAGGGAAAGCACAACCACGACAUGCCACUGAGGAACGCAAACACAGGAGCAUCCAAAAAGGAUACAACUAAAGAAAAGCCAUAAAUGAGUGAUAACAUCGAACUCAAACUUCGGCAUCAAACUGUUUCAACCUCAUGUUUUAUCUGACAGAAAUGUCAGACGGGCUCCGAGAAAAAAUCAGACACGGAAAAUAAUUUGCUGCAGUGAUUCUGAUCCCCACCUUGGAUGGUCUGCUCUGCAAUGCUAAUAAUUUCCCUUGGGAAUCUCUUUGAUGGCUGCUUGAUGGAUUUGGAGACAUAAAAUGGUGAAAAUAUUUUUGCUAAUUUUCCCUCCUGUUGCUGCUUCCUUCAAUUAACGCAUCAGAGCAUUACAUUUUUUUUCUUUUCUAUUAAUUGUAAUCCACUGGGAAAUUUCACAUAACAAAACUUUGUUAGAAAUGUUAAUGGCAGUGAUUAGGUUGAUGACU